CAGACACCCGGUUAGGAACCAGACGGGGAUGAAGCUUUAAUCUUCUAAUCUUCUGCUAGUAAAUACACUGGCAUCAACAAGCUCCAAGUCCAAGAUCAGAAAGCAAAUGCCUUCAUCAAGAAAAAUGCAGAUUUCCUGAACACGCCUUCUGUCUGCCAUUGGUCAGCCUAACAGAUGGCCCAGCCCCAAACUACUCACCAUUGGUGGAGGUGUGGAAUUGGAUAUGCCAAGAUGAUUCCAGACACUAUUUACUCAACUGCUGUGUCCUAACCCUAAUGUCUGAUUCUUGACAUGAUCCAUGUUAAUGCUGACAAAUGACCCUCGGAACAGGAAGUUGGAGAAACGCUGACCUGGGGGAGAUUUCUGUACAUUACAAAUUACAAUUUAUGAAUAAAUCAUCCAUAAGUCAUUUGUCUUGCAAAGUAUGGAAAAUGAUUGGAUCCACUUUAUA